rnacentral:rRNA from 1 species
CUACGGGGGGCAGCAGUGAGGAAUUUUGCGCAAUGGGGGAAACCCUGACGCAGCAACGCCGCGUGAGUGAUGAAGGCCCUCGGGUCGUAAAGCUCUGUCAAGUGGGAAGAACCUGCCCUGUGCUAAUAUCAUUGGGCAUUGACGGUACCACUGAAGGAAGCACCGGCUAACUCCGUGCCAGCAGCCGCGGUAACACGGAGGGUGCAAGCGUUAUUCGGAAUCACUGGGCGUAAAGAGCGCGUAGGCGGUCUCUUAAGUCAGGUGUGAAAGCCCGGGGCUCAACCCCGGAAGUGCAUUUGAAACUAAGGGACUUGAGUAUGGGAGAGGGAAGUGGAAUUCCUGGUGUAGCGGUGAAAUGCGUAGAUAUCAGGAGGAACACCGGUGGCGAUGGCGACUUCCUGGACCAAUACUGACGCUGAGGCGCGAAGGCGUGGGGAGCAAACAGGAUUAGAUACCCCGGUAGUC